ensembl:lncRNA SBDSP1 SBDS pseudogene 1
GACGCCUGCGCAGUAAGUAAGCCUGCCAGACACGCUGUGGCGGCUGCCUGAAGCUAGUGAGUCGCGGCGCCGCGCACUUGUGGUUGGGUCAGUGCCGCGCGCCGCUCGGUCGUUACCGCGAGGCGCUGGUGGCCUUCAGGCUGGACGGCGCGGGUCAGCCCUGGUUUGCCGGCUUCUGGGUCUUUGAACAGCCGCGAUGUCGAUCUUCACCCCCACCAACCAGAUCCGCCUAACCAAUGUGGCCGUGGUACGGAUGAAGCGCGCCAGGAAGCGCUUCGAAAUCGCCUGCUACAAAAACAAGGUCGUCGGCUGGCGGAGCGGCUUAUUUUGACUAAAGGAGAAGUUCAAGUAUCAGAUAAAGACACACACAACUGGAGCAGAUGUUUAGGGACAUUGCAAUUAUUGUGGCAGACAAAUGUGUGACUCCUGAAACAAAGAGACCAUACACCGUGAUCCUUAUUGAGAGAGCCAUGAAGGACAUCCACUAUUUGGUGAAAACCAACAGGAGUACAAAACAGCAGGCUUUGGAAGUGAUAAAGCAGUUAAAAGAGAAAAUGAAGAUAGAACGUGCUCACAUGAGGCUUCAGUUCAUCCUUCCAGUGAAUGAAGGCAAGAAGCUGAAAGAAAAGCUCAAGCCACUGAUCAAGGUCAUAGAAAGUAAAGAUUAUGGCCAACAGUUAGAAAUCGUAUGUCUGAUUGACCUGGGCUGCUUCCGAGAAAUUGAUGAGCUAAUAAAAAAGGAAACCAAAGGCAAAGGUUCUUUGGAAGUACUCAAUCUGAAAGAUUUGAAGAAGGAGAUGAGAAAUUUGAAUGACACCCAUCAGUCUCUUCACCUCUAAAACACUAAAGUGUUUUCGUUUCCAACAGCACUGUUUCAUGUCUGUGGUCUGCCAAAUACUUGCUCAAACUAUUUGACAUUUUCUAUCUUUGUGUUAACAGUGGACACAGCAAGGCUUUCCUACAUAAGUAUAAUAAUGUGGGAAUGAUUUGGUUUUAAUUAUAAACUGGGGUCUAAAUCCUAAAGCAAAAUUGAAACUCCAGGAUGCAAAAUCCAGAGUGGCAUUUUGCUACUCUGUCUCAUGCCUUGAUAGCUUUCCAAAAUGAAAGUUACUUGAGGCAGCUCUUGUGGGUGAAAAGUUUUUUGUACAGUAGAGUAAGAUUAUUAGGGGUAUGUCUAUACGACAAAAGGGGGGUCUUUCCUAAAAAAGAAAACAUGAUGCUUCAUUUCUACUUAAUGGAACUUGUGUUCUGAGGGUCAUUAUGGUAUCGUAAUAUAAAGCUUGGAUGAUGUUCCUGAUUAUCUGAGAAACAGAUAUAGAAAAAUUGUGUCGGACUUAAAUAAUUUUCGUUGAACAUGCUGCCAUAACUUAGAUUAUUCUUGGUUAAAAAAUAAAAGUCACUUAUUUCUAAUUCUUAAAGUUUAUAAUAUAUAUUAAUAUAGCUAAAAUUGUAUGUAAUCAAUAAAACCACUCUUAUGUUUAUUAAACUAUGGCUUGUGUUUCUAGACAA